AAAAGAGGAAGCUCACAAUGGAGGCGGACAUGGAUCUCCCCAAUUAAACCACAGCAUGUUGUUACUGUAAAUUAGACGGUUACUUUCUCUGUCGUAGGAAGUAAACCAAGUCUGUCGUGUUGCCUUCACGUACGGCCGGAUUUUAAAAGUACAAUCGACGAGUACGGAAGCUCUAGGCGGUUAGGAUUUAGAAAGCGGGUGCUGAGUUGACACAUAAACUAUGAUGGAUGAAUAAAUGUGUAUGUGACGGAAGUUAAAAAGCCAAAUUCGUUUGAAGAAUAUGCUAAAAAUACGGCAUUCUUUACCGCUAAAAUCUCGGAGCUUUAUAAGAGCACCUGAAUGCGUCGCCAGCUCCCUGCUGGUCAGUCGCUCCUCUGCUGUAAACACACGGUGAGCUUCAACUCCAGUUGGAUCCGACCAGAACCCGAGGAGAACUACGGAGAACAGCGAUGCAUUGAGUGAGCAUCGCCAGAGAAAAAGGAGGGACCGAGAACUGUAUUUUCUUCAAAGUCGGACAAGAACCUGGUUCGGCGCCCAUGUUUAUGCGUUUUGUG